AGAAUUUCAGAUUUUGCAACAUGAGAGUCUGAAAGACAGGCCAACACAGGCGGCUCUUUGGAAACAAGAGACCUGGUACUUCCAACAGCCAAAAAGCUGGCCAAACACCAGGAUGAGGGGAAAGACAUAUCAGGUGUCUUCAGUUUGAGUCUUCUUGUCUUUGUUUCCUGUCUUGGAGCUCUGAGCCCUGCUGCGGAAGGGAGUUUAUUCACCAGCACAGGCAUUGUGAGAAGGUUUACAUAACUAUAAUGAUGAGUAAAUGUGAUGACACAGAAAAACUGUGUCAGGGACAUUAAAAUUGAAAGAAACAAGCUAACAUUUCUUAGUACUUAAGAGAGAGAGAGUGAGAGAGCACAUGCGUGAUGUGCAUGAGCAGAGGAACGGGCAGAGGGAG